GAUGAACGCUGGCGGCGUGCCUAAUACAUGCAAGUCGAGCGAACGGACGAGAAGCUUGCUUCUCUGAUGUUAUCGGCGGACGGGUGAGUAACACGUGGAUAACCUACCUAUAAGACUGGGAUAACUUCGGGAAACCGGAGCUAAUACCGGAUAAUAUUUUGAACCGCAUGGUUCAAAAGUGAAAGACGGUCUUGCUGUCACUUAUAGAUGGAUCCGCGCUGCAUUAGCUAGUUGGUAAGGUAACGGCUUACCAAGGCAACGAUGCAUAGCCGACCUGAGAGGGUGAUCGGCCACACUGGAGCUGAGACGCGGUCCAGACUCCUACGGGAGGCAGCAGUAGGGAAUCUUCCGCAAUGGGCGAAAGCCUGACGGAGCAACGCCGCGUGAGUGAUGAAGGUCUUCGGAUCGUAAAACUCUGUUAUUAGGGAAGAACAUAUGUGUAAGUAACUGUGCACAUCUUGACGGUACCUGAUCAGAAAGCCACGGCUAACUACGUG
rnacentral:rRNA from 1 species